CAGCACCCUUUUCCUGCACCGGUCGGCCUGCCUGGUCACGGCCGGACUGGACUACGUGCAUGGUGCGUGCUCCAGUCCGGCGGUGGCCUGGCUUUGAACUUCGCCACAUUGUGAAGACUGGGCCGGCUAACGUAUAUUUCCGUUUCCUACGCGCACAAGCAUCUGAGCAACGGACAUACCCGUAUGCUCUCCCCCUGGGGUGCACAUGGACACGGCGAUCACCGGGACCUUCUUUCAUGGGCGCCCCCAUCCAAGCGAAGGCAGCUAGACCUCUCUCAAGCACAGAGAUUGCCGAAUGGAGGAACCUUGGUUCGCCGACUACGCCGCCUGAGGCUGCCUUCGAUGGUCUACAGUGGUCUUUGUCCAAGUGCUUCUGGCCUACGCUCUCAACUACCUACCAUGGACGAACCGUUACUUUUUUUUUUUUGAGGCCUGCGAAGCGAUAACUGCGAGCUAAACUAGUGUGGACUUCAUAUUUCUCCAGGGGGACGAAGAAUGCAAGCGAUUUUACUUUUCAAGAA